UGGGGAAUAUUGCGCAAUGGGCGAAAGCCUGACGCAGCGACGCCGCGUGAGGGAUGAAGGCCUUCGGGUCGUAAACCUCUGUCAGGAGGGAAGAAACGGCAGGUGAGUAACUGCGCCUGUUUUGACGGUACCUCCAAAGGAAGCACCGGCUAACUCCGUGCCAGCAGCCGCGGUAAUACGGAGGGUGCGAGCGUUAAUCGGAAUCACUGGGCGUAAAGCGCACGUAGGCUGUUAUGUAAGUCAGGGGUGAAAUCCCACCGCUUACCGGUGGAAUUGCCUUUGAUACUGUGUAACUUGAGUUCG
rnacentral:rRNA from 1 species